CACGUAGGGAGCAAGCGUUGUCCGGAUUUAUUGGGCGUAAAGAGCUCGUAGGCUGUUCGAUAAGUCGGGUGUGAAACCUCCAGGCUCAACCUGGAGACGCCACCCGAUACUGUCAUGACUAGAGUCCGGUAGGGGAGCGUGGAAUUCCUGGUGUAGCGGUGAAAUGCGCAGAUAUCAGGAGGAACACCGGUGGCGAAGGCGGCAUCCUGGACCGGUAUUGACGCUGAGGCGCGAAAGCUAGGGGAGCAAACGGG
rnacentral:rRNA from 1 species